UUUGUCAGGCAUUGUACUGCUGCUGCAAAGUGAACAAAUUUCAUGACAUAUGCCAGUGAUAUUAACGCUGAUUCUCAUUAUACUUCAGAACCAUAGUACUGAAUUCUACUAGUUGGACCUAGAUGUCUCAAAACAUUUUACAAUGCCUUGGAAGUGUUGUAACGUCGGAAAUUUGACAGGGAGCUUGUUCAGAGGCAGAUCCUUAAAGAAAUGCAAGAAUGACCAGCAGUUCUAAAUGAUCUCCAAGCCUUGCCACUAGAUACUUCUGGAAAAGCAUCCCUGUCAAAGAGUGGAG